rnacentral:misc_RNA from 1 species
UUAUCGAGUCUUUUAAUUAAUAAACUCGACCGAUAAGUGACGGCGUAUGUAUGAAAAUAUUUACACAAUAUCUGAUUUCCAUUUGCUACUGAUACGUUUGUUUUUAUGACAUCGAAUGAAACACCGUUGAUACGUGCUCACAAUCAGUGUUCGGUCUGCUCGUGCUGAAUAUCAGUAUCUCAUUUACGUUCGUUCUUUCUCCUUUUCUCAUUUGAAUUUGAAUUCUUUUCUUAUUCGAACAUCUUGAUAAGCAUUCGCAUAAUGCCGAAUUGCAGAAUGUUUUGUGAGCAGUAUUUUUCCGGUAAAAUGCAGUCUUUUCAGGGACCGUGCAUCUGGUCACGUACACAUUUGCAGCGAACACCCUUCGCAGAACGACAGAAUAAAAGAGUGAAACAAGGAAAAGAGAAGAACCUAGCGAACAGCACAAAAUUGCUGAUAUUGAUUGCAUUAUUUUUACCGCGUUGUUCGCAUCCUGUGGAGUUUCACACACGAAUUUAUCCUUAUAAUUGAGUCUGAACAAAUGUGAAACAUACGAAACGUACAGUGUAAUUUAUAAAGGAUAUUGAGAAAGGAAUUAAAUUACUAUUAUUUAUCACUGCAUUAUAUUAUUAACAUCUCGUAACAUAAUGUGUUAAAUUAUAAUAUUUUUCUUUUAUAAACAAAUAGAAUUUAGAUUAUAAAGUUAAAUAAUGUAUCUUUCUCUAAUUUAUAGCUUUUUGAUCAUUAUUUCUAUAUUUUGCA